rnacentral:rRNA from 1 species
GAGUGAACGCUGGCGGUAGGCCUAACACAUGCACGUCGAACGGCAGCACAGUAAGAGCUUGCUCUUACGGGUGGCGAGUGGCGGACGGGUGAGGAAUACAUCGGAAUCUACUUUUUCGUGGGGGAUAACGUAGGGAAACUUACGCUAAUACCGCAUACGACCUACGGGUGAAAGUAGGGGAUCUUCGGACCUUGCGCGAUUGAAUGAGCCGAUGUCGGAUUAGCUAGUUGGCGGGGUAAAGGCCCACCAAGGCGACGAUCCGUAGCUGGUCUGAGAGGAUGAUCAGCCACACUGGAACUGAGACACGGUCCAGACUCCUACGGGAGGCAGCAGUGGGGAAUAUUGGACAAUGGGCGCAAGCCUGAUCCAGCCAUACCGCGUGGGUGAAGAAGGCCUUCGGGUUGUAAAGCCCUUUUGUUGGGAAAGAAAAGCAGCAGGUUAAUACCCCGCUGUUCUGACGGUACCCAAAGAAUAAGCACCGGCUAACUUCGUG